AGCGGGGCAGCCCCGAUCUCCCCCUCGGCUCCAGGCCCCACUGCCAGGGGAUGGCAGCCUGGAGCCAUCACGGGACCCUCCUCUGGGCAGCUGCUCCUCUGCACAGCAGCCGCUCGGCCUCACUCAGCCGGGGGGCUUUAAACCUGCUGCAACUGCCGGGCCCACGGACUGGGAGCAAAUCACAGCACAAGGGUUCAAAGGCAACCAGGGCGCUCAGCCGGUUUCAUCUGCUCCCCACUGGGACAGAACAAAGUCGGGUGGGAUGGGCCGAAGAACAUCUGGGAAUGUUCCACUCACCGAUGCUGGAAGAAAAGACCCUGAGGUGACAGAAGCAGACACUGGUCAGUGUGCAGGUCUGCAGUGGGCUCUCUGCCCAGAAAGGGAACCACGCAGCUGCUUGGGAGUGUGUGACUGUCAAAAGGACAACAUGCAGCAUCAGGGCCCUGCCACCUCCACUGCACACUCUGCAGAGCAGCCUCAGGAGAGCAACUGCAGCACCUCUUUUGGCACCCGUGAUCUGGCUGGACCUUCACAGUGCAGGUAUGAGGAGAGGCCCAGGACUUUGGAGCACUCUCACUCCUCCUAGGAUAAGGGCCAGCUGCUGCAGACAAGCACAUCCUGGGCUCGGAUCAGCAGGAGCAACAGAGAAAGCCUUUGCAGACUAAAGUGCAGAUAAGCCAUUCCCACCUGUAGGGCACCUCAAAACGCACAGAUCCCUUCUCCAAGGAGGACUCUGUGCCCAGAAUGUGACUUUUCCUUCAUGAUGCAGCUACUGAGACAGUAAGAGGCUGUCCCAGCAUGAGCCUGACAGAGACCUGGGUCUCAAGGGGCAAGAGAUUCUGGGAUAAAACACACAAUGGCAGGAACUGCCCUCUUGACUCCACCUUGACUAUCACAACUACCAGCUGUGAUUAGCCACAUGGUUCUUACGCAGCAGACUUUGUGAAGGUCAUGAGAGCUUUUGGGACAGGGACAUCCAAGCCCUUUGGCAGGGUAAAAUGGCAUCAGAAUUAGAAGUAACUCUAGGAAACUGGAGCAGUUGUCUCAGAUUUUCAGAAGGAAAUUGAAUGAAGAGAAAGAAAGUGCUUUUGGGAAGAUUAUAUGAGAUGGCUUAUGGCUCUUGAAUUAAGAAGAAAAGGAAGUGGAGGUUGUAACCCAUCACAAUUUAACAUUGAAAAUAAAAAAAAAGGUUAUUUUGAUAUUUCAA